rnacentral:hammerhead_ribozyme from 1 species
CUGCUGAGGAGUCCCACAAUAGGACGAGAUGGCCGUCAAGCAG